rnacentral:rRNA from 1 species
AGCGGUGAAAUGCAUAGAUAUCACGCAGAACCCCGAUUGCGAAGGCAGCCUGCUAGGGUGCGACAGACGCUGAGGCACGAAAGCGUGGGUAUCGAACAGGAUUAGAUACCCUGGUAGUCCACGCAGUAAACGAUGAAUACUAACUGUUUGCGAUACAAUGUAAGCGGUACAGCGAAAGCGUUAAGUAUUCCACCUGGGGAGUACGCCGGCAACGGUGAAACUCAAAGGAAUUGACGGGGGCCCGCACAAGCGGAGGAACAUGUGGUUUAAUUCGAUGAUACGCGAGGAACCUUACCCGGGCUCAAACGCAGGGGGAAUAUAUAUGAAAGUAUAUAGCUAGCAAUAGUCACCUGCGAGGUGCUGCAUGGUUGUCGUCAGCUCGUGCCGUGAGGUGUCGGCUUAAGUGCCAUAACGAGCGCAACCCCUAUCGACAGUUACUAACGGGUGAAGCCGAGGACUCUGUCGAGACUGCCGGCGCAAGCCGCGAGGAAGGUGGGGAUGACGUCAAAUCAGCACGGCCCUUACGUCCGGGGCGACACACGUGUUACAAUGGCAGGUACAGAAGGCAGCCAGUCAGCAAUGACGCGCGAAUCCCGAAAACCUGUCUCAGUUCGGAUUGGAGUCUGCAACCCGACUCCAUGAAGCUGGAUUCGCUAGUAAUCGCGCAUCAGCCAUGGCGCGGUGAAUACGUUCCCGGGCCUUGUACACACCGCCCGUCAAGCCAUGGAAGCCGGGAGUACCUGAAGCAUGCAACCGCAAGGAGCGUACGAAGGUAAUACCGGUA